rnacentral:lncRNA from 13 species
CUCCUUUGGGAACGGUGGCCCAGGGAAGCAUGUUAAACCACAGGAUGAACUUGGUAUAUCUUCAUGGGAUAUGUUUACUUUAGUGGCCCUCGGGACAGGAGAAAACAAAGAUCACUUUUCUCUGGCCAAAUGGAGUCACCCAGCGAAGUACCUUCCCGAUGGGCCAUCUCUUUCAAGUGAUAAAAACGGUGUCUGGCCAACUUAAGCAGAGGCGAAGCCUUUCAGAGGAUGGAGUGG